CAUUAAGCUGCCGAACUAUCCAACGCUGAUCGGCAGUACUCUUUCCUUUCAGAUUAUGCGCAGCCUUUUUUAGGAGAUGUACAGAGGUACAAUGUUUACCAACAAGCUGCUGACCCUGGUGCUGGUGGUGCAGCCUGGACGGGUGCUGCUGGGCAUGAAGAAGAGAGGGUUCGGAGCAGGGAAGUGGAAUGGGUUUGGUGGCAAAGUCCAACCCGGGGAGACUAUUGAAGAGGCUACCAGGCGAGAUGAGGCCGCAGUGGUUCGACUCGGAUAAGAUACCCUUCGGUCAAAUGUGGGUUGACGAUAUUCUGUGGUUUCCACUGAUGCUUCAAAAGAAGAAGUUCUUGGGCUACUUCAAAUUUCAGGGUCAUGACUUGAUAAUCGAUCACAAGUUAGAGGAGGUAGAAAAUCUUUAAGACAAACUACUGGCCUCUGACUCAUUCAUACUGUAUCAAAGAGCAUUCCCACAUUGUUGUCUACCUCAAACAUCCCUGGAGAAAUACUGCAGAAUUCUUACUGAUUCCAGCUACCCUUGUUCAUAUUCAGUGCCAAGAUAUCCCCAGGUCUUUAUAAAUUUACAAACACUUUGUUACCAGUGACCAUAUGCCUGUGAAUCAGUAAUAAUUCCCACUGAGCCAAAACUAAAUACUGGAUGUGUAAAUGUUGCUGACAUAUGUAUCCUAUUCCACUAUUGUGUUGAUAU